GUCAAUGGGGUCUUAAUGGGGUCCCAAUGGUGUCCCUAUGGGGUCAAUGGCGUCUUAAUGGGGUCCCAAUGGGGUCAGUGGGGUCUUAAUGGGGUCCCAAUGGGGUCCCAAUGGGGUUAAUGGGGUCUUAAUGGGGUCCCAAUGGGGUCAGUGGGGUCUUAAUGGGGUCCCAAUGGUGUCCCAAUGGGGUUAAUGGGGUCUUAAUGGGGUCCCAAUGGGGUCCCAAUGGGGUCAAUGGCGUCUUAAUGGGGUCCCAAUGGGGUCAGUGGGGUCUUAAUGGGGUCCCAAUGGUGUCCCAAUGGGGUUAAUGGGGUCUUAAUGGGGUCCCAAUGGGGUCAGUGGGGUCUUAAUGGGGUCCCAAUGGGGUCCCAAUGGGGUCAUUGGGGUCAAUGGGGGCAAUGGUGUCCCAAUGGGGUCAAUGGGGUCAA
ensembl:lncRNA